rnacentral:lncRNA from 1 species
GGAGGCUUUGACGUGAUCUGGGUGUGGCCAGAUUUCCUCGGACAUUUUAAUCUAGGUCUUUCCACAAGAUGGCACUGAUAGCUUUUCCUUGAUUCUCUUUGUCGUCUGCUGAAAAAUCUGAUUUGUACCUGCUACAAAGCAUUCCAUGACUGAAAUCUCGCAAUUGACCAGUCGAUGUCUUGUAUUUCCGACAAUUCUGUCACCUUCGUGGCACCUAAAUUUUCCCCUGUAGACCAUUGCAGGAGCCCACACCUUGGCUUUGCCUGGUGUCCAGGAGGAAGAAAUUACCGAAGAUCUCAACAUUGCAGUUUUCAUGGAGUGAUCGUCAAAAUCGGAAGGAACCUCGGAGAUCUCCUGGCUCCAGCUCUCUGUUUCUAGGUGAGGAAAUUAACGAUCCCUUGGGUGGUCCAGACUGGGACCCAAUCCAUCCUAUCAAAAGUCCCUGGGUUGCUACACGGUGUCACUAGACCAAACUACUUAGAAGCGCUAGGUCUCCAUUUCCUCACCUACAAAAUACAGAUGUUCAUAAAAAUAUAGAUCAGUGAGGAUCCCCGAGGGGGCUGCAGAUGCUAGGGGUGUGCCGAGUCCCCAGCGGCUGCCGGACCAUCACCGCCCACCACAUGGGGGCUGCACCUUCCAUCACCGCCGUCACCGGAUGAUCCGGAGCCUGAUGAGAAUGAAGGAAGGACUCACACUUAUGUUGAGAUAUCUCCCGUGUGAGAUGAACGCUCGCAGAUUGCUGUGGUUGGCAGAAGUUUAAGACGGCUCCAAAGGCCCACACCUUUUGGUGUGAGGAUAUGGCUCUCAGGAUUUUGUUAUGUUACUCAGUUCAAGGGGGCCACAUGGGGAGGUGGCCUCUAGGAGCUGAGACUGGUUCCCGGGUGACAGCUACCAAGAACGGUGGGACUUCAGUCCUACAACGGCAAGGAAGUGAAUUCUGUGUCUGAACGAGCUUGGGAAAGGACCUCGAGCCUCUCAUGAGAGCGGUAGUCUGUCUGGGGUCUUAAGUUCAGCCUGAUGAGACCCUGAGCAGUGGCUCUGGUUAAACCAUCGUUGGACUUCUGACCUACAGAACUGUGAGAUAAUAAAUGAACAUUUCUUUACUAGGUUCGUGGCGAUGUGUUACGUAGCAAGAGACAAGGAAUGCAGAGGCCUUCUUUUCUUUCUUUUCUUCUCCUUAAUAUGCUGGUAGCCUUACUAGAUCGUUGAGGUUUCUGAAUUGCUGUCUUAUUUCUCGUGUCUUUCCCCGUGGUUUUAAGUCUUCCAGUGCCCCACACUGCAGACUGCACAGGUCCGC